GACGAACGCUGGCGGCGUGCUUAACACAUGCAAGUCGAACGGAAAGGCCCUGCUUUUGUGGGGUGCUCGAGUGGCAAACGGGAGAAUAACACGUGAGUAACCUGACAUUGACUGUGGGAUGACUUCAAGACACUGGAGCUAAUACCGGAUAAGAGCUCCUGCUGCUGGGUGGGGGUUGGAGAGUGUGGGCGGUUGGGGAUGGACGAGCGGCUUCUGAGGUGGUGGGUGGGGUAGGGGCUUACCAACGCUUUGACGGGUAGCCGGCCUGAGCGGGUGACCGGCAACAUUGGGACGGAGAUACGGCCGAGAAUACUACGGGAGGAAGCAGUGGGGAAUAAUGCACAAUGGGCGGAAGCAGGAUGCAGCAACGCCGCGGGCGGGAUGAAGGCCGUCGGGGUGUAAACCGCUUUCGCCUGUGACGAAGCGUGAGUGACGGUAAUGGGUAAAGAAGCACCGGCUAACUACGUG
rnacentral:rRNA from 1 species